rnacentral:rRNA from 1 species
UACAGAGGUCCCGAGCGUUUGUUCGGAUUCACUGGGCGUAAAGGGUGCGUAGGUGGCUUGAAAAGUUUGAUGUGAAAGCUCAGGGCUUAACCCUGAAAUGGCAUUGAAUACUGUCGAGCUGGAGGUUUGGAGGGGGGACUGGAAUUCUUGGUGUAGCAGUGAAAUGCGUAGAUAUCAAGAGGAACACCAGUGGCGAAGGCGAGUCCCUGGACAACACCUGACACUGAGGCACGAAAGCUAGGGGAGCAAACAGG